AGAGUUUGAUCCUGGCUCAGAAUCAACGCUGGCGGCGUGCCUCAGACAUGCAAGUCGAACGCGAAAGCUCCCUUCGGGGAGCAAGUAGAGUGGCGCACGGGUGAGUAACACGUAGGUAAUUUGCCUUUGGGUGGGGAAUAACUCAGGGAAACUUGAGCUAAUACCGCAUAAUGCAGCGGCUCGACAUCGAGACAGUUGUUAAAGCGGGGGAUCGAAAGACCUCGCGCCUAAAGAGGAGCCUGCGGCAGAUUAGCUAGUUGGUAAGGUAAUGGCUUACCAAGGCGACGAUCUGUAACCGGCCUGAGAGGGCGGUCGGUCACACUGACACUGACAUACGGGUCAGACUCCUACGGGAGGCAGCAGUCGGGAAUUUUGGGCAAUGGGCGAAAGCCUGACCCAGCAACGCCGCGUGAAGGAUGAAAUCCCUCGGGAUGUAAACUUCGCAAGAACAGGAAGAAUAAGUAGAAGCGAAUACCUUCUAUGAUGACGGUACUGUUUGUAAGCUCCGGCUAACUCCGUGCCAGCAGCCGCGGUAAUACGGGGGGAGCAAGCGUUGUUCGGAUUUACUGGGCGUAAAGGGCGCGUAGGCGGUCGUGACAAGUCACUUGUGAAAUCUCCGGGCUUAACUCGGAAAGGUCAAGUGAUACUGUCGGACUAGAGUGCAGAAGGGGCAAUCGGAAUUCUCGGUGUAGCGGUGAAAUGCGUAGAUAUCGAGAGGAACACCUGCGGCGAAGGCGGGUUGCUGGGCUGACACUGACGCUGAGGCGCGAAAGCUAGGGGGAGCGAACGGGAUUAGAUACCCCCGGUAGUCCUGGCCUUAAACGAUGAAUGCUUGGUGUCUCGGGUUACAUAGUCCCGGGGGUGCCGUCGCUAACGCUUUUAGCAUUCCCGCCUGGGGGAGUACGGUCGCAAGACUGAAACUCAAAGGNAAUUGACGG
rnacentral:rRNA from 1 species